GAGGAGGUGGCGGCGCCGGCCGCCUACGCCUGGGCCUGGGCCUGGGCCUCCCCUGAGGGAGGUGCGGUGGUUGCUCCCCUGUUUUCGGCCACCCUGGAAUAGGCCCUGAUCACGGGGCCUGCUGGAGCGUCCCGAGGCUCGCAGCUUUCUUGAGGACAGACUGAAGAAUGAGGCUUUCAGACCUCUGCAGGAUGUCAUCCAGGGGACUUCUUCCCAUGUUCUCACUUCCCUCUGGAAGAGGCUGCCCCCCGUUGAGGCAAGCACCACACAAGGCUACUGGUUUUUAAGAGUCCUGUAGCACAGCAACAGUGAAGAUCAGAAUCUCGUUAUGAUGAACUUGCCAAUUGCUGAUUAAAGCCAGCAAUGUCAGAUCUAAGAUAUUUCCUCAAGCAUGAAGGUCUGAUUCAGUUCUCAUCUGGAGACACCUGGGAUUCAUAAGGUGGAUUCUUCAUGGACAACGUUCAUAGACCUGAACUGAGAACUUAAUAUGAUCACUUCACACGUGACUGGAUCGAUAAUGCCUUUCAUGGCCUCCUGCUGCAUGUUCCUGUCAUGCCUUGGCACCUCUGCAUAACCUGCUGUUCAUCAGGAGCCCAAUGAAAUAAUUUGCUGUGGUGGUGAGAAUGCUGUCAGCCACUUCACACUCAUUAAGGUCUCAGCCAGGACACAACAUGAAGCCUUAGAUGUACAGCAUUUUUAAUGAACAUCAGUAUUAACUUCACACUGUCCCACACGUUGAGGCUGGAAGAUUUCCCCUCGAUGUCAUGUUGUCGUGGUUUAACCCCAGCCGGCAACCA